CAGUGCUGCAGUAAAUUGUGCGGCGCGACGUAUUUUAUUUUGAUUUUUGAAUCCUCCAUCUAAUGAAAGCGUUUUUGAUUUUAAAUUCUGAGGAAGAGUUUUGCGUAUUGGUGUGAAAAUGCAGUGUAUUAAAGUGUGUCUCAGUAUCGAUAUGAUUUCGAAUUAUCAUAAUUCUCUGCGGUAGUAAGCCCAAUAAUAUGCCAAUUUCAUAUCGAUCGAAUGGAAGAGUUUUAGAAUCUCACCAAAAUCAAACAACGUAUGCGAAAUGUGUAAAUUUAACGGAAUACCCUCUAACUAAAAGAAUGCAUCUGAUGUAAUUAAAAGAAGUGUCACAUGAACAUUUAAAAAGACUUUAAUUUCUUUUCAUUGCUUCCAUUUUACUUUUUUCGUACUUUAAUAUGCUACAACCUAGAAGCUAAGGAUGCUAUGGAUUUCAAUUGUAUAUGACAUUUUGUAGCAUUUUACUCCUUUUCCCUCACCUCCUAUCAACUCAGUUUAUAGAAAAUCAUCCUCUUUGUCGGGCUACCUCUAAUUUGGUUGAAGAAACAAAAUAAAACCAUGUGAUAGUUGGAAUAAAAAAGCUUCAAAGUGUAAAAUUAUUGACUUCCCUAAGAUCACCACAGUUUAAUGAAGAUGAUGGUUUUUUAUACUAGUGUAACCUAUUUAGUCAUUGAAUACCAUAUUAAAUGCUGGCUGAGGUGUUCUCUUGACAGAAAAGGUGAAUGUAUGGAUCAUCAUAAGAAGAAAUUCAUUUCUGAUUAAUUUGUUGAAAUGUCUUUGUUAUCAAUUCUCUGAAUAAAUUCUUCUUUGAAUAGUUUAAA